CUAGUAAAGUCGGCGCACGGGUGAGUAGCGCGUGGGUAAUCUGCCCUGAAGUUGGGAAUAACACCUCGAAAGGGGUGCUAAUACCGAAUGAUAUCCCCGGGAUUCCGGUCCUGGAGAUCAAAGAUGGCUGAGGCUUGCAAGCCAUCGCUUUAGGAUGAGCCCGCGUACCAUUAGCUAGUUGGUGGGGUAACGGCCCACCAAGGCCAUGAUGGUUAGCUGGUCUGAGAGGAUGGCCAGCCACACUGGAACUGAGAUACGGUCCAGACUCCUACGGGAGGCAGCAGUGAGGAAUCUUGCGCAAUGGGGGAAACCCUGACGCAGCAACGCCGCGUGAGUGAUGAAGGCCUUCGGGUCGUAAAGCUCUGUCAGAUGGGAAGAAAGUUUCGGCGGUGAACAAUCGCCGGGAUUGACGGUACCGUCAGAGGAAGCACCGGCUAACUCCGUGCCAGCAGCCGCGGUAAUACGGAGGGUGCAAGCGUUGUUCGGAAUCAUUGGGCGUAAAGAGCGUGUAGGCGGUCGGGUAAGUCAGAUGUGAAAUCCCUUGGCUUAACCAAGGAAGUGCAUUUGAAACUGCCCGGCUUGAGUACGGGAGGGGGAAGUGGAAUUCCCGGUGUAGAGGUGAAAUUCGUAGAUAUCGGGAGGAACACCGGUGGCGAAGGCGGCUUCCUGGACCGAUACUGACGCUGAGACGCGAAAGCGUGGGGAGCAAACAGGAUUAGAUACCCUGGUAGUCCACGCCGUAAACUUUGGGCACUUGGUGUUGCGGGUAUUGACCCCUGCAGUGCCGAAGCUAACGCAUUAAGUGCCCCGCCUGGGGAGUACGGCCGCAAGGUUAAACUCAAGGAAUUGACGG
rnacentral:rRNA from 1 species